rnacentral:rRNA from 1 species
UCGAGAAUAUUCCACAAUGGACGAAAGUCUGAUGGAGCGACGUCGCGUGCAGGAUGAAGGUAUUCGUAUUGUAAACUGCUUUUCUCAGGGAAGAAUUUCGAUGACGGUACCUGAGGAAUAAGAGGUUACUAACUCUGUGCCAGCAGUAGCGGUAAUACAGAGACCUCAAGCGUUAUCCGGAUUUAUUGGGCGUAAAGGGUGCGUAGGCGGAUAUAUGAGUCAGACGUCAAAUUCACGGGCUUAACCCGGGAACCGCGUUUGAAACGGUAUAUCUCGAGAAAGUGAGAGAUCAGUAGAACUCAUGGUGUAGUAGUGAAAUGCGUUGAUAUCAUGGGGAAUACCAAAGGCGAAGGCAUCUGAUUGGCACUUUUCUGACGCUGAGGCACGAAAGCGUGGGUAUCGAAUGGG